UUCCGCUUCAGCGACCAAAUUCCGUUUCAGCGACUUUUUCUUUUAGAAAAGCCUAGCACUCGCAUCGACGUAAACCGAGAGCUAACCAUAGGAGUGAGAGGCAAAUACGCGGCUAACGCUUUUCGUCGGGUCUUAAAAAUGUAAUGAAAACUCAAAAAACGACUGCAGAAAGUCUGUGCAGAUGAAAAAGGACGCCUCCUCCAAGCUGUUGCAAAUUAUUGUGGGUCUUCACCGACAGGAAGCAAUACCACAACGGCGCAAAUCAGCAGAAUAGUUGAAAACCACCAGAACUAUCUCCGACGAGCUUUCCUCCACCAGCUAAUUGGCAGCUAAAGCGGAGAUGGAGGACGUCCUAGCUUCUAUAGGGAGGAGGAAAAAAGGGCGCCAGCUAAGGGACAGCUGGAGGAGUCAUUGCCAAGAUGCUGGGCGACUUCCUGCAGCAUUAGGCGGAUCCACCCCGUUCCCAAUCCGGCUUCCACUUCCGGCUUCUUUUGCCAAAGUGGUAUUGCUUCCUGUGGGCCAAGUCUCACAAUAACGAGCAAUUUGGAUAAGGCUUGGAUUCUGCACGAACACCCCAAAAGCUGACAUUUGUUUUCUUUGUGCGGCGGCUAACGGCGUUCAUCGAAGUCUAGUACUUUUCUGGUAUUUCCUGAGAUUAUGUGAGUACCGCGCUGAAAAACAGACCCGAGAAAAGCGUUAGCCGCCUAUUUGCAUCUCGCUCUUAUGGUUAGCUCGCGGCUUUCGUCAAUGUGAGUAGUAAUCACUGAGUACUAGGCUUUAGACUUGAUUUUAUUUGAUUUCAAUGUGUAACGUUAUCGAGAGAUUUUGAAAAAACGUUAUGUUAAGCGCAAAGUAGAAUAAUAUGUAUAUGUAUUUCUUAUCUAUUACUUGGGUUGUCAAAAAUUAUAAAAGCCGUUAAACAUUGUACAUACAUAACUUGGCUAGCCCGUGUAAAAUCAUAAAAAUACUAGAAAAUGUUAGGUUUGCAUAUGCAUUUAUGAUUAUACCCGAUACUCGUAGAGUAAAAGGGUAUACUAGAUCCCAAAUUAAUCAAGCAAUAUAACUACUCAAAAAUAAA